GAUGAAGAACGUAGCAAAAUGCGAUAAGUAAUGUGAAUUGCAGAAUUCAGUGAAUCAUCGAAUCUUUGAACGCACAUUGCGCCCGCCAGCACUCUGGCGGGCAUGCCUGUUCGAGCGUCAUUUCAACCAUCAAGCCCCCAGGGGCUUGUGCUGGGGCCCUGCGGCUGCCCGCAGGCCCUGAAAACCAGUGGCGGGCUCGCUAGUCACACCGAGCGCAGUAGCACAUCUCGCUCAGGGCGUGCGGCGGGCUCCUGCCGUGAAACCCCCCACUGUAACCCCAAAGGUUGACCUCGGAUCAGGUAGGAAUACCCGCUGAACUUAAGCAUAUCAAUAAGCGGAGGA
rnacentral:misc_RNA from 1 species